rnacentral:rRNA from 1 species
UACGUAGGGGGCUAGCGUUGUCCGGAAUCAUUGGGCGUAAAGAGCGCGUAGGCGGCCCGGUAAGUCCGCUGUGAAAGUCAAAGGCUCAACCUUUGAAUGUCAGCGGAUACUGCCGGGCUAGAGUCCGGAAGAGGCGAGUGGAAUUCCUGGUGUAGCGGUGGAAUGCGCAGAUAUCAGGAGGAACACCAACGGCGAAGGCAGCUCGCUGGGACGGUACUGACGCUGAGGCGCGAAAGCGUGGGGAGCGAACAGG